rnacentral:rRNA from 1 species
UGCCAGCAGCCGCGGUAAUACGAAGGGGGCUAGCGUUGUUCGGAAUUACUGGGCGUAAAGCGCGCGUAGGCGGUUCGUUAAGUCUGACGUGAAAGUCCGGGGCUCAACCCCGGAAGUGCACUUGAAACAGCAAGACUUGAAUACGGUAGAGGAGAGAGGAAUUCCUGGUGUAGAGGUGAAAUUCUUAGAUUUUGGAAGGAAUACCUAAUGCGAAGGCAAUUUUCUGGUGCACUCCUGACACUGAGGUGCGAAAGCGCGGGGAGCGAACAGGAUUAGAUA